AGGGAGCACCCCCACCACUCCCCAAACACACCACUCCACACAAAUCCAGACAUUGGAGAUUCUACCUGCGUGCUAUGGAAACUGGCAGAUGAGCAGAGUUUGAACGUGAGCAGAGCCUUGGAGGUGAGGGCAAGCUUGGCUGUGGAGGGUGUCGGCGUUGGGCAGAGGACAGGAGCGAGCUCGCCACCUGGGGGCAAAGAAAGGGCGGCCAUGGAGAAAACUGGGAAGCAAGGGCGCGACGGCCAUGGGCGAGCUGAGCUUGGAGGAGCAGAGGGAGGAAGCUUGGGCGCGACGCAGUGAGCUCCGGCAAGGAGAACAAAGGAGCUGGACGCGCCGAGGGAAAGACGCCAUGGGGGGCUCGCGGCAGCCUUUUUUGGAGCAGAGAAACUCCAGCGCGCACAGGGAGGAGCUCUGGAGAGGGAGUCCGCGGCUGGGGAAAGGGGCAUCCCGGCGAGCUGCGCGCAGGGGCAAGCUCGUGCGCGCCAGGGAGAGAGCAGAGGAACUCGGCGAGCUGCGGCAGAAGAGGGAGGCCGAGGAGCAAGGCAGGGGCGCUUGGUUGAGAGCAGAAGAUGCACACCGAUGGGAUUUUUAUCCAGGAUGGCCGAGCGGAUGGGAACGAGGCAACGGCGGUGAGAAAAAUCUUGAGCAGAGCGGCGGCUGCGAGGAUAAGCACGGCCACCGGCGGACAGAUUUUUGUUCCCAGCAACCGGAGCGGAUGAGGACGACCGGGUGAAGGAAGCAGAGGUGAGCGCUCGGGAAGAACAGCUGUAGAGAUAUUUUUUUUAUUUUCUUUUCUCCUUUUUUUUACAGAAAACUAUAGAUAUUUUUGUGUCCGGAUUUUUAGCAAUGCACACUGGAUCGAUACACUAUUCA
rnacentral:misc_RNA from 1 species